UACGGAGGGUGCAAGCGUUAUCCGGAUUCACUGGGUUUAAAGGGUGCGUAGGCGGGCCGGUAAGUCAGUGGUGAAAUCCUGGGGCUUAACCCCAGAACUGCCGUUGAUACUAUCGGUCUUGAAUGUUGUGGAGGUGAGCGGAAUAUGUCAUGUAGCGGUGAAAUGCUUAGAGAUGACAUAGAACACCAAUUGCGAAGGCAGCUCACUACGCAACGAUUGACGCUGAGGCACGAAAGCGUGGGGAGCAAACAGG
rnacentral:rRNA from 1 species